GACUCUGUGGAGUAGUGGUUUGUAUGUUGGUCUACAACUCUGGAGACCAGGGUUUGAUUCCCAGCUUGGCCA
rnacentral:tRNA from 1 species